UACGUAGGGUGCAAGCGUUGUUCGGAAUCAUUGGGCGUAAAGCGCGUGUAGGCGGUUUGAUAAGUCGAGUGUGAAAUCCCCGGGCUUAACCUGGGAACUGCAUUUGUGACUGGCGGGCUAGAGUAUGGCAGAGGGGGGUAGAAUUCCACGUGUAGCAGUGAAAUGCGUAGAGAUGUGGAGGAAUACCGAUGGCGAAGGCAGCCCCCUGGGCCAAUACUGACGCUCAUGCACGAAAGCGUGGGGAGCAAACAGG
rnacentral:rRNA from 1 species